GUAUUGUUAAUGAGACUCAAUGAAAUAUAAAACUCUGGUGCAGUGAGAUUUUUAGAAACUUCACAUAGUUGUUAUCUAACCACAGAAGCUGUCCCAGUUUCUGUCAGGAAGAUGUACAGAACAACACACUGUUUAAUUACAUCAGGCUAUUGAAAAGCACAGAAGUGUGCACCAUCAGAAUUCCUCCAUCUGCCUUGUUGCCUUGACAUGAUGUGGUAUUCUUUGAGAUAUUAAAAAUUCUCAUCAAAUCAUGCUUCCAUUGAAGAUUGCCACAGACAGAAUUUUUGGAGUAGGGUGAGGUGCCCAUGGAACCCAGCAGAGCCACAAUAAUUUUGGACGUAAGAAAUCUUGACUGAAGCACAGCAAGACAGGGCUUUGAAAAAUACUUCUUGAUACUUUUUUUCCCCUCUUUCAUUAUUUCUCCACUUUCUAAUCUAUUUAAGCUUGAAGAGGGGUUAGAACUGCUCCCCAGAACCUAACUUCAUUGGUUGAGGCUCCAAACCUAGAUGGUGGUCAGGAUACUAAAACUCCUGCUUUCUGUGUGUUAUGUCAGCAUAACUCUCUUUCACUCACACACUUUCCUCACAAAUCAGAUACUUGCAUUGCUCACACACACGUGACAACAGUGUUCCAGAGACAGGAGAGGCAGGACCAGAAAAGGCAGGAUGCAAAACACUAGUUCCACAGAUAUUCCAGAAAAGGUAGCAUUUAGUUAUUUCGGCAUUGCAUGUUUAAUUAUGCAGUGCUGCUAUGAUUGUUUUUUUUCUGUCCAUUUUGUUCCACAGUGGCAGAACGUCACUGCGUUUGCAGUGCUUCCCUGCGUUUCACCCGAGGUAGAUGGCAGGCGCUUGUUCCCGCACAGCACCUUGGUCAGCUCCCGGGGCUGCCCCGGCGGGGCCGCCGCCGCUGCCGCCGCCCGCCUGCAGCCCCCUGCCGCCGGCCCAGCACGGUAUCGCCGAGGAAGGGCAACAGAGAAAUAAAGCACCAAUAUCGCUGUUAGGGCUGCUGAAUCUGAGUGGUUGAGGUUGAAGAUGCACAAGAAGCUGUAAGGGGACACAGCCAGGACAACUCUUUUGAAUCAGCAAAGGCAUAUUCCCUACCCUAUGAUGUGCUCAGCAACAAAACUGGGGUAAUGCAUGAAGAAGGUGUUGAGGGCCUGGGGAAUUGUCUUCUAAGCUGGCUUUUGCUCGAAGCCUGUACUGGGAUUGGUGUGCUUAUAGGGGGUGGUAAAUGACUGCCUUCGUAUGGCUUCUCUCUUUGUCUUCCCUUCACUCAUUAAACUAUCUUUAACUCA